GUUUUUCUAUUUUAUUGUUUUCUAAUAAAUUUCUACUCCACCUUUUUUUCUGACCCUUGUGCUGCUGUAACAAGUAAAUUUCCCUAGUGUCGAAUUAAUAAAGUAUAUAUCUGUAAUUGUGUCUGUAUUUAUCUGUUCAUAUCAGUGUCAAUGGAUUUUCUGUCUAAAUGCCUCAGUAAUGACAUCUGCAGGCAAGAGAGAACAGGGCUGUCUCUGUGAGUGUGGGGGGCAGAGAGAAGGACUGCAUAGACUGUCCUCCUCAAGACAUAAACUUUCACAUCACUUUUGUGGACUUUCCUUCAAGCUGAACUCUGAUUGGCUACAACACAUCUGGGAGAACAUCUUCCCUAACCAAUAUCCAGAACACAAUGACAAUGCAUUGUUUCUUUAUCACGGUAUGAAAGUGAGUAGCUUAUUCAAAUUUGGAAAAUCAUUUUUAGCGACUUUUAAAAGUAACUUUUAUCUUGAACUUUUAAGCAGAAUGCAAAAAUUUAUUUUCAGAUUAUGUAUUGAUUUUUUUUUUUAAAAUGAGACGAUUUAUUUACUUUAUUUUAUUUUUUUUAAAAAGGCUGCUCACCUUCAACUCAAGCACUUGGGUCUUGAUGAAUGAGAACUUACACAGACAGUAGUGUAGCAAUUAACAGGUACUAAUUAAUUAAUGGAGUUAUAUGUGAUUUCUUGCUUAUAAAACUAGGGCUGCCACAAACGAUUAUUUUGAUAGUUGACUAGUCACCAAUUAUUUUUGCGAUUAGUCGACUAAUCAGAUCAUGCAUCCAUUGGACAUAAAACGUACAGCUUAUUGCACCAGCAUGCGUCUGCUCUUAUAUAACUAUCAUUAGCUUACAGCUUGAAGUGUUUAAGGUAUGUGCUAACUAAAAAUAAAAACAAGAUGAUAGUUUAUUAAACUUUUAAUGAGAUUUGCAGAUUGUCUCAGUAAAGUUUAAUAAACUCAGCCGUCUGCUCCUUGCUCACUAAAAUAUAUCAGGACACUAAAGUAAAUUCUCUACCAUCUCACACUUCUGUCUAAUCAGAUUUCUGUGUGAC
ensembl:lncRNA